UCCCAUAUUUUCCUUUUCAGACUGAUGAGUACAGAAGAGACUCUUGUUGAAGCGGCGCUGCGAGUUCUCAACACUGCUGACCCUGUUGAGAAAGCUCGCAUUGGUGACGAAGUAGCAAACAGAUGGCUGCAAGGUCUCAUUUCUCAGCCUUAUAAUCCUGCUGAAGAACUCCCUGUUCCUGAUCGUCCAGCCCGUCUUACAAAUGUGAAGUUGGUGUCACCAAGUCUCAUGCCUAAGCUUGGAAAAGCAGGAAGCUUGCAGAGUAGACAGGCCAUUGUACAUAGUCUUGUACACACUGAAAGCUGGGCUAUUGAUUUGUCUUGGGAUAUAGUUGCUCGAUUCGGCAAGCAGCAGUCAAUGCCAAGAGAGUUUUUCACUGAUUUUGUAAAGGUUGCUCAAGAUGAAGGGCGGCAUUUUACUCUACUUGCAGCACGGCUUAAGGAACUAGGUUCAUUCUAUGGAGCUUUACCUGCUCAUGAUGGCCUGUGGGAUUCAGCCAUUGCUACUUCUAGCGAUCUGUUGGCUCG
rnacentral:misc_RNA from 1 species